rnacentral:lncRNA from 1 species
GUCGGACUUUAAAAACAACUUACUGGAUUUGUAGAAAUUGUCAUUGUAAAUAAAAAAUUACAGUAAAUAAAUUGUAUGUUAUAAAUGUAUGUAAUAAAUGUCCUCAACUUUUAUUAUUAAUAUGAGGGUCUGGAUGAGGGGGUCUGUUAUUCUGUAAACAUUUGAUUUUCACCCCUUUUUUCUCUAAUCUUUAAAAAAUUAACCCCUUUUUUCUCUAAUCUUCCAAAAAUUAACCCUUUUUUUCUCUAUUCUUCUAUUUUUUGGCCCAUUAUUCUCUAAUCUUCAUUUUUUAAGGGCAUUAUUCUUUAAUCAUUUAACCCCAUCCAAACCCUCACAUAUUACUAGUCCCAUCGUACAUUGCUUUUUUUUCAUGUAACAAUAACGCAAUGUAACCGUAGCCUCAAUAAUUAUUGUUACAUUCGUAAUUAAACAGGUCCUUACCCAACCAUGCAUUCCGGCAUUUAGUCUCCAAUGUGACAAUAAUAUUUUUAUUAUUGUUACAUUUCCAUGUAACCGUAGCC